CGGGGUGGCUAGACGAUCGCCCGCAAUAAAGCGAGAGGAAAGUCCGAACUCCAUAGGGCAAGAUGCCGGGUAACACCCGGUGGGGGAAACCCUGAGGAAAGCGCAACAGAAAGUAAACCGCCUUCGGGAACGGAGGUAAGGGUGAAACGGUGAGGUAAGAGCUUACCGGUUCUCGUGGUAACACGGGAAGCCAGGCAAACCCCAUCCGGAGCAAGACCAAAUAGGGAAGCGAUUGAGGGCUGCCCGUCCGAUGCUUCCGGGUUGGUCGCUGGAGGUGGCGGGUAACCGUCAUCCUAGAUGAAUGAUCGUCGUCCGGUUUUCCGGAAACAGAAUUCGGCUUAUUGCUACCCCGGACU
rnacentral:RNase_P_RNA from 1 species